rnacentral:misc_RNA from 1 species
CCCACCUCAUGUCUACGCGUGCUUGUGCUUGCAAGCCACUCUCCUGCAGAACCAAGUGUAGCAACACUCGCACACACACAUACACACACACACACAGAACCGCCGUAAGCGGCACAUACCCAACGAUUUCCCUCGUACGCACAGACUAUGUCAGCUGAACCCACUUCUACCACUGCUGCUGCUUCUAAUGCAGCACCACCACAAACGUUGAUGCCGGGAGGCCGGCAACUCUUCACAGUGGAGGAGUUCUACCCGGUCUACUUCUCUGCCUGGGAGCGUGAGACGGGUCUGUGUAGCAUCUGCUGCAACCAAGUCGAGGGGCCGUGCGUCGUGUGCCAGAGCAACGCGGAGGCCACCUCGGCGGAGUGCAGCAUCACAUGGGGCGAGUGCGGCCAUGCCUUCCAUACCCAUUGCAUUGAGAAAUGGCUGAAGACGCGGCCGGUGUGCCCGCUCGACAACAAGGAGUGGAAGGACCGCUCAGACUGGAACACCUCCGCCACCGUAUAGAAGAGGGAGUUGCAACGGGUUGGGGGAGAGGGAGAACGAGAAAGGACAUGUGCGUGUGUGUGGGCGAGCAAACACCUGCCCCACCCCCCCCCCCCCACCCCCCCCCCAACAACCGCACACAACUCCAUCACGCGUGUGUGUGUGUGUGUCGCCGUACUUUGCUCGAUGACGGAGCGCGCCCUCUCCUGCGCUAUUAUUCUUAGUGUUACUCAUCUUCGGGUCUCGUGUGCGGAGAGCGUCACUUUGGGCCUCCUCCCUCCUCCUUUUACGCCCAUCCUCCCACCUCUUCUCUCACUCUCCACCACACGGCGUUGUGCGCCGCCAUGCGAGCGGCGCAUGCCACUGACUGAAGAGGAGGGAAGAAGGGGUGAAAAGAUGAACGUAAAGGAAGAGGAGACGGGGCUGGUGUGUAUGUCGACAGAGGGAGCAGAAGAUUGUGAGGCGGGGGUAGCUUCUGGACCCCUUCUGCUUUUUGGCUGCUUCGAGCGGUGGUGGCCCAUGGGCUUCUCUUCAUUUCCUCUCCGCGCGUGCGUGUAUGUGUGCGUAAUUCGAAAAGAGCAAUACACAAAACGAGAGGAAAGAAAAUAAAGCACACACACACACAUACACACUAUGUGCUCUUGCUGCUGGCUGCUUGCGCGGGCACGAAGUAGGGGGUGUGUAGGUGGCGCACACAUGUUUUUGUGUACCCGUGCAUACGCCCACUCUUUGGCAUCUUCCGCUGGCCGCUGAUUUUGUUUCCAUGAAAAAGAAACAAAGGGCAAGAAAGCCCCUACCCCCCGUACUCCCCCACGCUGCGUUAACGCGGCAGAUCCGCCACUGGUGUCUUUGGCAUCACAUUGCUCCCCUUUUUCCGCCUCUCCCCUUUCUCCCUCCCUCUCUUAUCUGGGCUGCAUGCUGCAACGCAUCCCGCAG